rnacentral:lncRNA from 1 species
UAACUUUUUGUUGGAAUGGUCAAGCAUUUCUGUGUUCUCAAAUAAUAUCCUGUGUCCAGGCUGGUUCAUCAAGUGCUCUGCUGUGGCUGAUUUCUCUGGUUGAAUUAGUCUGCAGUGCCUUCAUGUUCUUUGACUCUUGUUUGGGCGCUGCGUUUGGUAGUCCCUAUGUAGACUUGCCCACAGCUGCAUGGUAUCCGGUAAACUCCUGCAGAGGAGAGAGGAUCCCUCUUGUCCUUCGCUGACCGUAGCAUUUGUUGGAUUUUCUUUGUGGGUCUGUAGAUAGUUUGUAGGUUGUGCUUCUUUCCUUUCCUUACUUAGUUUAUCCAUACCUCUGAGGAUGCCUGCCAUAGAUGUGGGCGAAACGUCAGUAGAGAAUACUUCUGGAACAUGGCCACACAGCCCGAAAGACAUACAACAACCCUGCAACCUGUGACACUCUCCAGGAAAUUCCUUCCUAAUGGUUCCAGUCAAAUAUCUUUCCCUGCCAUGUGAAUCCAUUGCUCCCUUGUGCCCUGGUCUUUAGAGCAGCAGAAAGUCAUUUUCCCCCUUAUUUCCUCCUCAAUGGGACACCCUUUUAAAUCUUGAAAUAUGGUUCUCAUGUUCCCUCUCGACCUUCUCUUCUCCCAGCUAAACAUCCCCGAGGAGUAAAGGAGGAAGGAAAGAGAGAAGAAAGGAAGGAUAGGAUGGUAAGAGAGAGGAGGGCCUGAGAAAAGAGCUCAAGAGGCCGCAUCUGGCCCCUGGGCCUUGGUUUGCCCAUACCUGCUAUAGACCAUCCUUUGUAAUUAAACAAUCAGCUUGAAUUCAAUCGUCUUCCAAACUAAAAAAAAAAAAUUAAAACUCAUUAAGUUUGACACUAGUGUCAUUUUACACAACUUUUUUAAAAGGAAAGGAAGGGAUUGCUAAUGGCAUUGUAUGUCAUUUUCAUUCUAGUGGCAGGAAUGUUGUUCUUUGAGAUUAUACAUUGAUCAAGAUAGAUGCCUGGAUAAAUGGGAAUCCCAUUUGCAUGGUGUUGAACUACUCCUCCUU